rnacentral:rRNA from 1 species
CACCCACAGGCUAGCCCAACCAACCAAAUCCACCAAACCCCCUUCAAUAAACCCAAACACCCACCAAUACACAAGUAAAACAUUCUCCCUCCCUAGUAUAGGCGACAGAAAAG